GGUUGUUCCCACUUGUAAGGAAACCAAGUACAUUUAAACCUUAAUCGGUAGUUUCCUCCCAAACAGCCCGAGCCCAGUGAACAUAGCCCUCCGUUCGGUGGUUAUAGUAGACGAAUUCCCAAUUGUAAAUCCAAUAGUGUUCCUGGAUAAUUCCCACAGUAAAACACACAAACUCCCAAACAGCAUACGUAGUCAGAAUAAGGGUACAAAGAUGAAC